rnacentral:rRNA from 1 species
AAUGAACGCUGGCGGCAUGCCUAACACAUGCAAGUCGAACGACACCUCCGGGUCAAGUGGCGCUCCGGGGCGUCUCGCGUGGGACCCUGCCCUUAGGUUCGGAAUACUACCUCGAAGGGGGGGCUAACGCCGGAUAAUGUCCUCGAAUACAAGAUACGUCCCACUGGUGUGGGCCGGGGUUGGAUUGGCUUGUUGCGAGGGUAAGAGCCUACCAAGGGUUCGAUCCAUACCUGGUCUGAGAGGAAGAGCAGCCACACUGGGGCUGAGACACGGCCCGGACUCCUGCGGGAGGCAGGAAUGGGGAAUACUGGACUAGGGACUAAAGCCUGAGGCAGCACUGCCGCGUGAGUGAUGUAGGCCUUAGGGUUGUAAAGCUCUUUUACACGGGACGAUAAUGACAGUACCGGGAGAAUAAGCUCCGGCUAACUUCGUG